AUUGAUCGUUCAGCAUGGCGGUGGAGAUAGAGUCAGCAGAUGUUGUUCGACUUAUUGAGCAAUACCUGAAGGAGAAUAACCUUCUCCGAACACUAUCAAUUCUACAAGAAGAGACGGGAAUCUCAUUGAAUACCGUGGAUUCUGUUGAUGGCUUCAUUGGUGAUAUCAACAGCGGACACUGGGACACAGUGCUACAAGCCAUACAGACCCUAAAACUCCCAGACAAUAAACUCAUUGACUUGUAUGAACAGAUAGUGUUGGAGCUGAUAGAAUUACGAGAGCUGGGAGCAGCCAGGUCACUCCUCAGACAGACAGACCCCAUGAUUAUGUUAAAACACAACCAAAAUGACAGAUUCUUACAUUUAGAGAAUAUGUUAGCAAGGUCAUAUUUUGAUCCACGAGAGGCAUAUCCUGAGGGGCAGACAAAAGAGAAAAGAAGAAAUGCCAUAGCUCAAGCCUUGGCAGGGGAGGUAAAUGUUGUCCCUCCCUCCCGUCUUCUGGCUUUGCUGGGACAGUCCCUGAAAUGGCAGCAGCAUCAAGGACUUCUUCCUCCAGGUACAACUAUUGAUGUGUUCAGAGGUAAAGCUGCAGUCAAAGAACAAGAGGAAGAGAAAUACCCAACACAGCUCAGUAAAACUAUAAAGUUUGGACAGAAGGCCCACAUAGAGUGUGCCCGGUUCUCACCAGAUGGACAGUUCCUGGUGACUGGUUCAGUGGACGGGUUUGUUGAGGUCUGGAAUUUCACCACCGGAAAAAUCAGGAAAGAUCUGCGAUACCAAGCACAGGACAACUUCAUGAUGAUGGACGAUGCUGUGCUAUGUAUGUGUUUUAGUAAAGAUUCAGAAAUGCUGGCCACUGGAGCACAGGAUGGAAAAAUCAAAGUCUGGAAAAUCCUAACAGGACAAUGUUUGAGGAAGUUUGAUAAAGCGCAUAACAAGGGAAUUACUUCAGUGAACUUCUCCAAAGAUAACAGCCAGCUACUCAGCGCUUCUUUUGACCAAACUAUCAGAAUCCAUGGAUUGAAAUCAGGAAAAACUUUAAAAGAAUUCAGAGGACACACGUCUUUUGUUAACGAUGCUGUUUUCACCCAAGAUGGGCAUCAUAUAUUAAGUGCCAGCUCUGAUGGAACAGUGAAGGUGUGGAACCUAAAAACCACGGAAUGUCAGAACACUUUCAAGUCCCUGGGGGGUACAUCUGGUAUGGACAUCACGGUACACAGUGUACACCCCCUACCCCGACAGACGGAGCAGUUCAUAGUGUGCUCUACUGUUUCAGUGUCACCACUGGCAAACUAGAAAGAACCCUGACGGUUCAUGAGAAAGAUGUGAUAGGUAUUAGCCAUCAUCCUCAUCAGAACUUGAUCGCUACUUACUCAGAGGACGGCCUACUGAGGAUCUGGAAACCCUGAGGGGGCACCUGCUAGAUUAUCAAAUUACAGUGGUCACCCCAUUACGGAUUUCAUUUAUAGCAUGCAAUUAUCUGCAUGUGUUGUUUGUCAUUGUAUGGAGAGAAAUUGCUAUUCCUGAAUUAAAGGGAAGACAAUUUACAGUAUGAGGUAGAGAAACAUUGUGAAUAUUGUGAUGAUUUUUAAGUAACUAUUAACAUUAUUAUGUCAUUAAAUCAUGUUUAUGAAACAUUAAACUCUUGAAGGUUU
rnacentral:misc_RNA from 1 species